rnacentral:rRNA from 1 species
CAGUCGCCGCGGUAAUACGAAGGGUGCAAGCGUUACUCGGAAUUACUGGGCGUAAAGCGUGCGUAGGUGGUGGUUUAAGUCCGUUGUGAAAGCCCUGGGCUCAACCUGGGAAUUGCAGUGGAUACUGGGUCACUAGAGUGUGGUAGAGGAUAGUGGAAUUUCCGGUGUAGCAGUGAAAUGCGUAGAGAUCGGAAGGAACAUCUGUGGCGAAGGCGACUAUCUGGGCCAACAUUGACACUGAGGCACGAAAGCGUGGGGAGCAAACAGGAUUAGAUACCCGGGUAGUCCCUGUCUCUUAUAC